rnacentral:rRNA from 1 species
GGAUGAACGCUGGCGGCGUGCCUAAUCCAUGCAAGUCGAGCGAACAGAUGAGGGGCUUGCUCCUCUGACGUUAGCGGCGGCCGGGUGAGUAACACGUGGAUAACCUACCUAUAUGACUGGGAUAACUUCGGGAAACCGGAGCUAAUACCGGAUAAUCUAUUGAACCGCAUGGUUCAAUAGUGAAAGACGGUUUUGCUGUCACUUAUAGAUGGAUCCGCGCCGCAUUAGCUAGUUGGUAAGGUAACGGCUUACCAAGGCAACGAUGCGUAGCCGACCUGAGAGGGUGAUCGGCCACACUGGAACUGAGACACGGUCCAGACUCCUACGGGAGGCAGCAGUAGGGAAUCUUCCGCAAUGGGCGAAAGCCUGACGGAGCAACGCCGCGUGAGUGAUGAAGGUCUUCGGAUCGUAAAACUCUGUUAUUAGGGAAGAACAAAUGUGUAAGUAACUAUGCACGUCUUGACGGUACCUAAUCAGAAAGCCACGGCUAACUACGUG